CGAAGACCGGGAUAACACCGGGAAACCGGUGCUAAUACCGGAUGCCCUCGAAGGAUCGCAUGUUCCAUCGAGGAAAUGGAUUCCGCUUCGGGAUGGCCUCGCGGCCUAUCAGCUUGUUGGUGAGGUAACGGCUCACCAAGGCGACGACGGGUAGCUGGUCUGAGAGGAUGUCCAGCCACACUGGGACUGAGACACGGCCCAGACUCCUACGGGAGGCAGCAGUUAGGAAUCUUGCGCAAUGGGCGAAAGCCUGACGCAGCGACGCCGCGUGCGGGAUGAAGGCCUUCGGGUUGUAAACCGCUUUCAGCAGGGACGAAAUUGACGGUACCUGCAGAAGAAGCCCCGGCCAACUACGUGCCAGCAGCCGCGGUAAUACGUAGGGGGCGAGCGUUGUCCGGAUUUAUUGGGCGUAAAGAGCUCGUAGGCGGUUUGGUAAGUCGGAUGUGAAAUCUCCAGGCUCAACCUGGAGGGGUCAUUCGAUACUGCCAUGACUAGAGUUCGGUAGGGGUGUGUGGAAUUCCUGGUGGAGCGGUGAAAUGCGCAGAUAUCAGGAGGAACACCCGUAGCGAAGGCGGCACACUGGGCCGAUACUGACGCUGAGGAGCGAAAGCGUGGGGAGCGAACAGGAUUAGAUACCCUGGUAGUCCACGCCGUAGACGUUGGGCACUAGGUGUGGGAUUCUAUCGACGGAUUCCGUGCCGUAGCUAACGCAUUAAGUGCCCCGCCUGGGGAGUACGGCCGCAA
rnacentral:rRNA from 1 species